rnacentral:rRNA from 1 species
GACGAACGCUGGCGGCGUGCCUAAUACAUGCAAGUAGAACGCUGAAGGAGGAGCUUGCUUCUCUGGAUGAGUUGCGAACGGGUGAGUAACGCGUAGGUAACCUGCCUGGUAGCGGGGGAUAACUAUUGGAAACGAUAGCUAAUACCGCAUAAUAUUGACUAUUGCAUGAUAGUCAGUUGAAAGGUGCAACUGCACCACUACCAGAUGGACCUGCGUUGUAUUAGCUAGUUGGUGGGGUAACGGCUCACCAAGGCGACGAUACAUAGCCGACCUGAGAGGGUGAUCGGCCACACUUGGACUGAGACACGGUCCAGACUCCUACGGGAGGCAGCAGUAGGGAAUCUUCGGCAAUGGACGGAAGUCUGACCGAGCAACGCCGCGGGAGUGAAGAAGGUUUUCGGAUCGUAAAGCUCUGUUGUAAGAGAAGAACGAGUGUGAGAGUGGAAAGCUCACACUGUGACGGUAUCUUACCAGAAAGGGACGGCUAACUACGUG